rnacentral:rRNA from 1 species
UACGAAGGGGGCAAGCGUUGUUCGGAAUUAUUGGGCGUAAAGGGAGCGUAGGCGGUUCGGCAAGUCUUUAGUGAAAUCUCUGGGCUCAACUCAGAGUCUGCUGGAGAAACUGCCGGGCUGGAGUAUGGGAGAGGUAAGUGGAAUUCCCGGUGUAGCGGUGAAAUGCGCAGAUAUCAGGAGGAACACCGGUGGCGAAGGCGGGUCUCUGGGCCGUAACUGACGCUGGAGGAGCGAAAGCAUGGGGAGCGAACAGG